UAUGGUAGAGGAGCAUUUUGCAUUAGUAAGUAAUUUGAUUUGUUCAGGCAAAAGUGAUAAUUAUUGAAAGGGUAAGGUGCCGAAGAAGAAAAUACCUGUUUUAUUUUCUGUCUGGGUAUAUAGUCAAUAGCUAUAUAACUGUCAUAUAUAUUAUUAUAUAUGGGGUGCUACUUG
rnacentral:ncRNA from 1 species